CACUGCAACACCCGAGUUUUCAUCUAGUAUUUAUGAAAACAAAGUUCCAAGCUUAAUUUUCAUCUUAUCACAUCAUCAAAAAUACAAAACGGAGUUCUCUUGCAUUGUCACUAUGGACUAAGGAAAUUUUUAUAUUCUUUUUAUUAUUAAUUGCAUCGUAUGGGCCUCCAGCCUUUAAGCCUGCAUAUCUCCUCCCUUCAUGAAGCUUCCACCACCUCAGUUUCUUCCUUAUCAUUUCCUCAACUUUUGUCUUACUUCGGGUUUGGGGUCGUUGUUCUACUCAAAGAGAAGAAAUCGAGAGAGAGAGAGAGAGAGAGAGGGGGAUGGAAGGAGGAGAUACAGGUCAACGGAGAGAUCUCGGGGGGAGAGGAAACUGGGAACGGUGGUGGUGGGAGAUGGGCAGAGAGCGCUUGGGACAGCUGAUCGAGGAGGAGGAAGGGAGGAAGAAUUGAGAGGGAUAUGGGAGUAGGAGUGCACCUGAAGGAUAUGGGUUACGCUUAGGAGUUGAAGAGAUUGAAACUUUGCAUCUUGAUGGCUUGGCUUCAUUAAAUAUUUUGGGAGUUUGACUGCAGAUAUAAGAAAGGACGCUAGAUCGCUGAUCUGACCGGAUAUAAAAUGGACGCUAGACCGUUGAUCCAAUGGGAUACAAACAGGAUGCUAUAGUCGCUGAUCCAGCGGGAUGCAAACUGGAGGGUAGACCAUCAAUCCGAUAGGAUAUAAAAACGGACGCUAGAUCGCUGAUCCGGCGGGAUAUAAAAUGGAUGCUAGAUUGGAGGUUUGAGGAUGGGUGGCCCCAAUUAUGAGAGGUGAUUUGGGGAGUUAUGGAGGAGCUGAUUGAAAUAUGUGUGGUCAUAGUACCGUCAUAACUCUGUCACGAGUAUUGCCACCCUAUGGCUAGCUUGUGAUGGUUAGCAGAGCUUUAUAAAGUUGUUCUGAUACUACUAAAUGCUUUGUGAUGAGUAUUUGCUUGAUGUAUGUAUGCUAUUGAAUCACGUGUAAUGGUUACAAGAAUUGAGGUUAUAAAAGGUAUAAAAUUUGUGGAUUCUGAUUUAUUAUAUGAUUGUAUAGAUAUUUGCAGAUUGAAUGAUAUUGGU